UACGUAGGGUGCAAGCGUUAAUCGGAAUUACUGGGCGUAAAGCGUGCGCAGGCGGUUAUGCAAGACAGAUGUGAAAUCCCCGGGCUCAACCUGGGAACUGCAUUUGCGACUGCAUGGCUAGAGUGCGGCAGAGGGGGAUGGAAUUCCGCGUGUAGCAGUGAAAUGCGUAGAGAUGCGGAGGAACACCGAUGGCGAAGGCAGCCCCCUGGGCUGACACUGACGCUCAGGCACGAAAGCGUGGGGAGCAAACAGG
rnacentral:rRNA from 1 species